CCAGGUACCAGCUGUGUGAUCCUGGAGUGGCCACCCGACUGGGCUGUUUCCACCCAUGUGACAGUGGCAUCGUGAACCCACAGAGCCCCAGUGCUAUUUCAAGGAUUGAGCAAGACACCACCCACAGCGCCCAGCACGUCACUGGCACCAUGCCUACCAGUGAAGUCCAUGUUUCAAGGCUCCACUGGACAGCAUGGGUCACUCACGGCACCAGCAGCUACCAGGUGCAUCAGGCAAUGCAGCCAGAGCAGGCCUGUGACGGAGCUGCUGGCAUCUGGCAGCCGCAGACUCUGGACAGAAUGUCUCCCAGAUACAGUCAACCAGGCUGCUGUUGAGGCUGAAGAAGAGGGAAGAAAAAAUGGUCUGGGUAACUGUGCAAUUCAGCGUUCACUGAGAAGCCAGUACUGCUCCCUGAAAAUACAGUUUCUGAUAAAUAAAGCAUGGUACAUGCAGACAAGGGA